UAGGGGGCAAGCGUUAUCCGGAUUUACUGGGUGUAAAGGGAGCGUAGACGGUUAAGCAAGUCUGGAGUGAAAGGCGGGGGCUCAACCCCCGGACUGCUCUGGAAACUGUAUAACUAGAGUGCAGGAGGGGUAAGUGGAAUUCCUAGUGUAGCGGUGAAAUGCGUAGAUAUUAGGAGGAACACCAGUGGCGAAGGCGGCUUACUGGACUGUAACUGACGUUGAGGCUCGAAAGCGUGGGGAGCAAA
rnacentral:rRNA from 1 species